GGACAGGAGACUGUGUGGAGUGCUGCCAACGUGGCAGUGGAGGAGGACUCUGGCUGCCUGUCACGUGGAGAAGAAACCCUAGAGGCAAAGGUGGGAGCAGGGAGCCCAACUCCGCAGCUAGUGCAGGAGGGGUAAAAACAAAAUUGGUAUGGAUGUUAAAAUGUCAACAACUACCACAGAAUGUCAACGUCGGAAUGUCAUGAAUCACUGCAGAUGUCUCCAUCUGGUUGCUCGAAUUUCUUUCCUCCAGUGUUGUAUGUACUACUGCCA